UACGUAGGGUGCAAGCGUUGUCCGGAAUUAUUGGGCGUAAAGAGCUCGUAGGCGGUUUGUCGCGUCUGCUGUGAAAACCCGAGGCUCAACCUCGGGCCUGCAGUGGGUACGGGCAGACUAGAGUGCGGUAGGGGAGAUUGGAAUUCCUGGUGUAGCGGUGGAAUGCGCAGAUAUCAGGAGGAACACCAAUAGCGAAGGCAGCUCGCUGGGACGUUACUGACACUGAGGCGCGAAAGCGUGGGGAGCGAACAGG
rnacentral:rRNA from 1 species